rnacentral:rRNA from 1 species
UUUUAUGGAGAGUUUGAUCCUGGCUCAGGAUGAACGCUGGCGGCGUGCCUAAUACAUGCAAGUCGAGCGAACGGACGAGAAGCUUGCUUCUCUGAUGUUAGCGGCGGACGGGUGAGUAACACGUGGAUAACCUACCUAUAAGACUGGGAUAACUUCGGGAAACCGGAGCUAAUACCGGAUAAUAUUUUGAACCGCAUGGUUCAAAAGUAAAAGACGGUCUUGCUGUCACUUAUAGAUGGAUCCGCGCUGCAUUAGCUAGUUGGUAAGGUAACGGCUUACCAAGGCAACGAUGCAUAGCCGACCUGAGAGGGUGAUCGGCCACACUGGAACUGAGACACGGUCCAGACUCCUACGGGAGGCAGCAGUAGGGAAUCUUCCGCAAUGGGCGAAAGCCUGACGGAGCAACGCCGCGUGAGUGAUGAAGGUCUUCGGAUCGUAAAACUCUGUUAUUAGGGAAGAACAUAUGUGUAAGUAACUGUGCACAUCUUGACGGUACCUAAUCAGAAAGCCACGGCUAACUACGUGCCAGCAGCCGCGGUAAUACGUAGGUGGCAAGCGUUAUCCGGAAUUAUUGGGCGUAAAGCGCGCGUAGGCGGUUUUUUAAGUCUGAUGUGAAAGCCCACGGCUCAACCGUGGAGGGUCAUUGGAAACUGGAAAACUUGAGUGCAGAAGAGGAAAGUGGAAUUCCAUGUGUAGCGGUGAAAUGCGCAGAGAUAUGGA